rnacentral:lncRNA from 1 species
CUAAAACCCCAAAAUUUUCCCCUCUUCUUCGCAGUUUAUCAGUAUUAAAAAUUUAAUACUCGCAUUUCGCUUCUUCACCCUUUUCAAGGUCAUUUCUUUCGCCUCUUCUUUCUUUUUCUCGGAUCUUCUUUCUCCCUCUCAGCAAAGAUCUCUGAUUUUUUCUGUCUCCUUUUCGUUCGCUCUCUGGUAAUUUCAUCUUCUCUUUUUGUAAUUUAAUUUGUUCUAUGCUGAUUCAUAUAUCGUUACUGUUACUUGUCUCGCUUUCUUUCUUUUAUUUUCUGUUUUUGAAUGAUUAUCAGCUUGGUUGCUGAGAAAAUAGAGGCUGGAAAUAGGCUUGUCGAACCCCCGUCGUCAGUCGCUGAGCUUAUCCCUUUCCUAGACGUAAUCCCUAAUCCAUCAUUUUACUAUUUUUCCUUAACUUCGUUUUGCUCUUCGUUAAUUUUUUUCCUUAUAAUUUGAUUUGUCUGAUUUUAUUAUGUAUGCGUUUUCGAAAUUUUUAGUGUGAUUCUUUCUGUGCAAUUAAUUUAGUUAGAUUUCACCCAUACUGAUUUUAUUGUCUUAAUUGACAGUGAAGUAUAUUAUCUAAUUGGAUAAAAAGGUUAACUGGGUUCAGCUUAAAAUAUUAGUGUUGGAGUUGUGUCUAAUUUCCCAUAUGAAAAUCACCAAUAGAUUACUAUUAUGAGAAUGGUAAGUUUCUCUUUUAAUUUGUUUGAUGAUUUUUUCUGUUUUAAAGUCAUGUUCUUAUGUACGUUUUGGCAAUGUUGUGCAGGUUGAUGAAGAACCUGCAAUUAGAACAAAUACCACCAUAUUAUUGGGAAACAUUGCAAGCUACCUAAAUGAAGGGGUUAGUUGUUUCUUGGCUAAUCCUUCUUGAAUAUUUGUUUUGAUUCAGUCAAUAGUGAAGGCAUAUCAAACAUUAUUAAGAUGGUUCACAUGGAAUCAAUGACCUUGAAAACUUUUAUGUUACAAUUUGUUUUCUUGUAAGGUGCAUUAAUUUUUAAGCAGCUAGCUUAAAUAGUUAAAUGAUUUAUAAAGGCAUGUCCAGAAUUUUUUUAUAGCCACUUGAUGGAUAAUGUCAGUUCUCUUUUCCCAGGAUGUAAUUUUGGUUUUUGACUGCUAAAAUUCUAACCUUGCAGAUGGGCCAUGAGUUCCUUAACUCUUAAAGGCAAAGCUAAUCAAGCUCCAGGCUUGGCAAAUAUUCAGGCAGCUCAGAAGCGUCCUGUUUCGCAACCAGUUUGACAGCCUAAACCACAAGGUAGUAUUCUGAACAUCCCUACAAUAGAAUAGUAUGAAAUUUUAAUGAAAGUCGUGAAUUUCACAGCCUCUUUGAAUCUUCGGUACUUUUUCACCUUUGGUUUGGGAAGCAAUAUUUGGGAAGAAAACCUCUCAGAAAACAUUCUAAGUUUUUUCUUUUUUUUUUUUGUUAGGCUUCUAAAAUUUGUAAGUCUCUUUGUCCUACCCCUUUUCUCUUGGCUUACUGUUAUUUAAUUACAUAUAUUAUAUGGAAGAUUCUUAGAAUUUAUGAUUGGAUGUUACCUCUUCUUUUUUUCUUUAUACAACUUCUCAUGUUUGUAUUUUGCUGCCUGAAUGUGCUGGUUGGUAUGUUUUUGAACUGUUACGUGCAUGAUAGAUCAAUACAAUUAGCGGUGGUGCCAUUUUUUUCUUACUUGAGUAGCUCCUACACAAAACUGAUGCUAGCGGUGGUGCCAUUUUUUUCUUACUUGAGUAGCUCCUACACAAAACUGAUGCUAUGUUGUGUCAUUACUAAAAUUAGAUCAGAAUAUAUGUGGCAAAAUGAUUUGAUAAAUGAGUUAGCCUUAAACUGGAAGAAGAUAAAAUAAAAAGGAAAGGGGAACAUGGAAAUCGUCAUGAUUUGUUUUUGGCUAUUUUAGCAUGUAAUAGACAGAGCUAUAUUUUUAGAAUUUUAAGUCAAAUUUUAGCAUGUGCGUCUGUAUAAAAAAUUUAUAUAUGUAAGUCAAAUUUUAAGAGAUUAUGAAAUCAGUAAAAUAUUUGGUGAAGAACGGAAAAUCGUAACAAAUGUAACAAAAUCAUAGUUGAUCCCAAGCUGUUAAACUUUUAUAAGUAGGCAUAAACUCUUCACUGAGUUUCUCUUGAGUUGCAUACUUAAACUCUCCCUUACAGAAGUUUUGGAUAACUCUUACUUUCUCCAAAAGAGUUUCCAUUGAAAGAGUGGUGGGGUCCUACAAAUGGAGGAGUUAUCGGUUGGCCACCCUGUUGGGUAGCACUGACAAGGACCAUNN